rnacentral:lncRNA from 1 species
GCAAUUUGAAACUUCAUCUGAUACAUCAUUCAAGAUCCUUUUGAGUUCAUCUGCAACAUGAUCAUUGUGAAGCUGUUGUUUUGAACAAGUGCCUUAUGGAAUUCAUUUGUUACAUGGGCUAAUUUGAAGAAGAUCAUGGAAUGGAUAAUCUUGGAUGUGGCUAUCUUUAUUUGAUGCCUUUCUCUACAAGAUAAUAUAAUUUUUCAUUUGUGUGUUGCUUGAUUCUAAAAGUCCAAGGGAAUUCUGGGUUUCUAU